rnacentral:rRNA from 1 species
AUGAGUUAAGUAUAAACCCCUUUACAAGUAUCAAUUGGAGGGCAAGUCUGGUGCCAGCAGCCGCGGUAAUUCCAGCUCCAAUAGCGUAUAUUAAAGUUGUUGCAGUUAAAAAGCUCGUAGUUGGAUUUCUGUUAAUAAUUUAUAUAUAAUAUUUAACGUAUUUAUAUAAUAUUAACAUAAUUCAUAUUACUAUUCUGUGGUAUAUGAAAUUUUACUUUGAGAAAAUUAGAGUGCUUAAAGCAGGCUUAUGCCUUGAAUACUAGAGCAUGGAAUAAUAUUAAAGAUUUUUAUCUUUCUUAUUGGUUCUAAGAUAGAAAUAAUGAUUAAUAGGGACAGUUGGGGGCAUUUGUAUUUAACAGUUAGAGGUGAAAUUCUUAGAUUUGUUAAAGACAAACUAAUGCGAAAGCAUUUGCCAAGGAUGUUUUCAUUAAUCAAGAACGAAAGUUAGGGGAUCGAAGACGAUCAGAUACCGUCGUAGU